GAUGAACGCUAGCUACAGGCUUAACACAUGCAAGUCGAGGGGCACAUGAACUUAGCUUGCUAAGUUUGAUGGCGACCGGCGCACGGGUGAGUAACACGUAUCCAACCUGCCGAUGACUCGGGGAUAGCCUUUCGAAAGAAAGAUUAAUACCCGAUGGCAUAGUUCUUCCGCAUGGUAGAACUAUUAAAGAAUUUCGGUCAUCGAUGGGGAUGCGUUCCAUUAGGUUGUUGGCGGGGUAACGGCCCACCAAGCCUUCGAUGGAUAGGGGUUCUGAGAGGAAGGUCCCCCACAUUGGAACUGAGACACGGUCCAAACUCCUACGGGAGGCAGCAGUGAGGAAUAUUGGUCAAUGGACGAGAGUCUGAACCAGCCAAGUAGCGUGAAGGAUGACUGCCCUAUGGGUUGUAAACUU
rnacentral:rRNA from 1 species